AGGAAAUGGGAACACAGAAGAGAGAAAUUUUGCUACACAUGGACUUCCAAAAUGAAUGUAGUUUUACAGUUAAUUAAAAAUUGUCUGCGUAUGGAGUUUCCUCUUCAAGGAAACUGGUACUCGUUUUGUCCAUAGCCUUACUUGUGCUGAAAUAUACUGGGUUAGGGUUGUGCAAGUUGGGAAGAAAAAAGAAAGCCUGGGUUGCUUAGCCUAUUUAAUGCACAGUACUGUUAUAGUCAUUCUUCUUCCUGCUUCACAUAUCAUUGAUUUCUCAUAAGUUAGAAGUGUACUUUGCUCAGCAGCUGAAGGUUUAUUCCUAAGUAUUUUUAACCUUCUGCCAGAUGGUUUCUGCUUAAUUCUGGAAAACAGACAAACAAACAAAAACCUGCGUAGAGAUUUAACCUUAAAUACAAGUCUUCUCAAUUUAUCCCCAAGCUAAGCAUAGGUCAGUGGCAUACAUUUCUGCAGUCUUGACAGAUCCAGUAGGUGAUUCCUUAAACAAACACAAACCCAAGCAGAGGCAAUAUUUGCACAGAUAGCUAUCAAGUCAAACAAAAUAAGCUCCAUUUUCAUUACGGAACACAGUGCAAGAUGCACAUCCAGCCUCUGAACAGAAACACAUUUCUUCUGGCAUUUCAGCUCUAGAUCAUAUUGAAGGAUGCCUGUACCCACAUAAAUAAAGUUGAAAAGCCGUGUGUAAUGAGAAGCAGGAUAUUAUCCCGUUCGUCACUGUUAGGGAGCUGCAUGCCUUCUAACGUUCAAGCUGGAUCAUAUAGCUCUGUAGUUACACAAUAGGUAAGUAAAUAUUGAAUCGCCCCUCUUCCUGUCCCCCCCCUUCUUCCUCCCUGACCCUAAGAGGAACUGUGGAAAGAUUGUAAGAGAGGGAAAAAAAGACAGCUUACAUUUGCUAGAAUUUAGCUUCUGGCAAGCGACAUUAUAAGGAAUUCAUUUCCUGGCACAUAAUUUACAUGUCCAGUCCUCCCACCCACUCUUUUUUUUUUCUCCCACCCUACCCCCACAUCCCUCCCCUGAGCUGCCUGCUCUGCAGUGUUCCCGCAGCUUCCUGCCUUAUGUUUGCUUUCUAUUUUCAUAUCCAUGGGAAAGGAAUCUGCUUUAGCAGGGGCUGCUAUCCUGCCUGCACCAGCCAGCCAGGGCUGCCACCUCUAGCUGAGGCCACAGGAAUUGUCAUAGCCUUUUGCCUAUAUAUUCUUCUAUUGCAUCUUCCCAGCCAUCCUUGA
rnacentral:lncRNA from 1 species